rnacentral:tRNA from 1 species
GGGCUCAUAGCUCAGCUGGAUAGAGCAACAGUCUUCUAAACUGUGGGUCGCAGGUUCGAAUCCUGCUGGGCUCGCCA